GCAAGUUCAUUUUCUUUCUUUUUGCACCCAUCGGCUUCUAAGGCAAGGAAAGGAAGAAAACUUCUCAAGCCCUCAUCUGUGCAACUACAACCCCCUUCUCUCCCAUUCCAUUCCUCUUCCAAUCUCAAGCCAAGCAUCCAUUUUUCCUUCUUCUCAAGAGGAAAAUAGCAACUUUUGAACUUCUAGCCAAGGGAUUCGUGUGCCCUCUGUUUCCCUAAGCUGAACCUACCUUUCUCUUCCUCAUUUUCGUGUUUUGGGAAGGAUUCACCCAAGGUAUUGAUGGAGAGGUUGUGGAGCCAGGCACUACCGAGGAGGGAGGGGCCGAUGCUUAGUGUUCCCCUGUCGGUUCGACCUUUUGACAAUAAUGGUUUAUGGUUUUUAUGUUUUGGGAUGGGUCCUGUGUUGGGAUGUUUUGUUGGAUUAACAUUAAGACAAUAUAUCUUUUGGGUAUGAUGUAAAUUCUAUGGUGGGGCGAUGGUAAUCAUGUAACUUCUAUGGUGGGGUGAUGGUAACCCCCCAUACGAUGGCUUAACACCUUUUGUAUGUAAUGUAGGGACUAAG